AGUCGUAACAAGGUAUCCGUAGGUGAACCUGCGGAUGGAUCAUUACCAAAGACCUUUGUCUUUUACGUUAUGUGAACAGUUUAGGGUUUUGAGGUGUCGGGGAAGUGUGUGUGUGUGUGUGUGUGGUUAAUGUUGUGGUCUUGUGUCACACAGAGACCCAGACCCACCCGCGCUCCGCGGCUCCUUGUUUUUGAACUACGUAAUUUUUGAAACUGAAGUCUGCCAUUGAGAUUAGUGGAAAACUAAAAAACAACUUUUAGCAACGGAUCUCUUGGCUCUC
rnacentral:misc_RNA from 1 species